GUUAUAGGAUCAAGCGACUAAGUGCAUAUGGUGGAUGCCUUGGCGAUCACAGGCGAUGAAGGACGUAGUAGCCUGCGAAAAGCUACGGGGAGCUGGCAAACAAGCUUUGAUCCGUAGAUGUCCGAAUGGGGAAACCCACCGCAGCAAUGCGGUAUCCCUAGCUGAAUACAUAGGCUAGUGGAAGCGAACCGGGUGAACUGAAACAUCUCAGUAGCUCGAGGAAAAGAAAUCAACCGAGAUUCCGAAAGUAGUGGCGAGCGAAAUCGGAAGAGCCUUUACGUUUUAGCGCGCAAGAUAGUUGAACGGAAUGGAAAGUCCGGCCGUAGCAGGUGAUAGCCCUGUAGAUGAAAUCUUGUGUGUGGAACUAAGCGUAAGACAAGUAGGGCGGGACACGUGAAAUCCUGUUUGAAGAUGGGGGGACCAUCCUCCAAGGCUAAAUACUCGUGAUCGACCGAUAGUGAACCAGUACCGUGAGGGAAAGGCGAAAAGAACCCCGGAAGGGGAGUGAAAUAGAUCCUGAAACCGUAUGCAUACAAACAGUAGGAGCCUCCUUGUGGGGUGACUGCGUACCUUUUGUAUAAUGGGUCAGCGACUUACAUUCAGUGGCAAGGUUAACCGAAUAGGGAAGCCGUAGCGAAAGCGAGUCCGAAUAGGGCGAUUCAGUCGCUGGGUGUAGACCCGAAACCAGAUGAUCUAUCCAUGGCCAGGUUGAAGGCACGGUAACACGUGCUGGAGGACCGAACCCACUAAUGUUGAAAAAUUAGGGGAUGAGCUGUGGAUAGGGGUGAAAGGCUAAACAAAUCUGGAAAUAGCUGGUUCUCUCCGAAAACUAUUUAGGUAGUGCCUCAAGUAUUACUGCGGGGGGUAGAGCACUGUUAUAGCUAGGGGGUCAUGGCGACUUACCAAACUAUGGCAAACUCCGAAUACCCGCAAGUACAGCUUGGGAGACAGAGCACCGGGUGCUAACGUCCGGACUCAAGAGGGAAACAACCCAGACCGCCAGCUAAGGUCCCGAAUUAUCGCUAAGUGGGAAACGAAGUGGGAAGGCAUAGACAGUCAGGAGGUUGGCUUAGAAGCAGCCAUCCUUUAAAGAAAGCGUAAUAGCUCACUGAUCGAGUCGUCCUGCGCGGAAGAUGUAACGGGGCUAAGCGAUAAACCGAAGCUGCGGGUGUGCACUUUUAGUGCACGCGGUAGGAGAGCGUUCUGUAAGCCUGCGAAGGUGGCUUGUAAAGGCUGCUGGAGGUAUCAGAAGUGCGAAUGCUGACAUGAGUAGCGAUAAAGGGGGUGAAAAGCCCCCUCGCCGUAAGUCCAAGGUUUCCUGCGCAACGUUCAUCGGCGCAGGGUGAGUCGGCCCCUAAGGCGAGGCAGAGAUGCGUAGCUGAUGGGAAACUGGUUAAUAUUCCAGUACCGUCGUACAGUGCGAUGGGGGGACGGAUCGCGGAAGAUCAUCAGGGUGUUGGAUGUCCCUGUUGCUGUAUCGAAGAUGGCGCUUAGGCAAAUCCGGGCGCGUAAAUCAAGGGUAUGGCACGAGCGAGCAUUGCUUGCGAAGUGAUUGGAAGUGGUUCCAAGAAAAGCCUCUAAGCUUCAGCUGUACGAGACCGUACCGCAAACCGACACAGGUGGACGGGAUGAAUAUUCCAAGGCGCUUGAGAGAACUCAGGAGAAGGAACUCGGCAAAUUGAUACCGUAACUUCGGGAGAAGGUAUACCCCGGUAGUGUGAAGCGCCUGCGCGCUUAGCAUGAUGGGGUCGCAGAGAAUCGGUGGCUGCGACUGUUUAUUAAAAACACAGCACUCUGCAAAGACGAAAGUCGACGUAUAGGGUGUGACGCCUGCCCGGUGCCGGAAGGUUAAGUGAUGGGGUGCAAGCUCUUGAUCGAAGCCCCGGUAAACGGCGGCCGUAACUAUAACGGUCCUAA
rnacentral:rRNA from 1 species